UAACUCAGGUGGUAUGUUCCCA
rnacentral:miRNA from 1 species